rnacentral:rRNA from 1 species
CAGCCGCCGCGGUAAUACGCAGGGUGCAAGCGUUAAUCGGAAUUACUGGGCGUAAAGCGUGCGCAGGCGGUUUGUUAAGACAGAUGUGAAAUCCCCGGGCUCAACCUGGGAACUGCAUUUGUGACUGGCAAGCUAGAGUGUGGCAGAGGGGGGUGGAAUUCCGCGUGUAGCAGUGAAAUGCGUAGAUAUGCGGAGGAACACCGAUGGCGAAGGCAGCCCCCUGGGCCAACACUGACGCUCAUGCACGAAAGCGUGGGGAGCAAACAGGAUUAGAUACCCCCGUAGUCCCUGUCUCUUAUAC